UUUGCGUCAUUUCGGGACUUUCCGAAUGUAGCCAAUUAUCUGCGACUUGCAGAAAUGGCUGCUUGCGUCAUUCCGUAGUUCCUUGUACUCUCUAAACAAAAUCUCUAAUACAGUAUUAUAUGUAUAGUGUCUGGUACAUUUCUUUAUUUGUUGGAACUCCUUCAAUGAAACUGUAGUGCAAGAUGGAAACACUCAAGAAUAAGAUUUAUGCUGGGAGACUCUGGACUGUCAUCCCCAGUGAAAAAUUACCAGAGUUUGCGGUUGGGAUUAUUGUAUUCUUGCUGUUUGUCUGUCAUUACACGAUGAAUUCCUUUGGACACAUGCAUCUUCACCUGGAAGUCAAGUGUACCAAGGGAUAUUACUUGUAUCGCUACGAGACCAACGAACAUUGUUUCCCUUGCCCGUCGGGGACAUUCCUAUCCGAAAUACAACAUCGCCGUAGCGAGUGUAAGCUGUGCAGGCAGCCCUUGACUUGCCACCAUGAAAAAACUCUGAGGAUGUGUACUCCUGAUUCGGACACCGUGAUAGGCUGCGACAAGGGCUACUUCCGCUCCCCUAACAAAGACGGGAAGUGCGUCAGAUGUUCAUCCUGCAGACGUGGCUACCACAUAGCCAAGCCAUGUGACUCUACAGGUGACACAGUUUGCUGCCCCGUGCCCGGGAUGACCGUCAUCGCGGAAAAUUCCGGAAAAGUUCAGUGCGUCUUUCAGAGAUAUGAAAUUAUAGAAGUAACGAGCUCUUCCAAUGAUGUGUUCAUGAUGGACCGCAGAAUCUUGAGACGUGAAAAACUCAGAUUAAAACAUUUGAGAAAAGUUUAAGUCUAACUUUAACCCACGUUUUAAUGGAUAAGAACAGGACAAAACGCUGUGGUCUACUAGAGCAGUUUAGCACUUUAUGGGCCCAUAAUUUAUUCUGUUGUUUGUGACAUAAAUGGGGUGCGCUAAUAGGGCAGUUUAGCGCUUUAUCUAUCCAUAAUAUGCUCUGUCGUUUGUGACUGAAAUACAGUGGGCAAAUACAAAGUUGAGCAGCUUUUAAAGUCAAAAUUUGUUCAGACAUUUGCGAGUAUCUUUUAAUCAAGCAUUUCUUGGCAGGCAGCAAAUUGCUUUGUUACAAAUGGAAAAAAUUGAUGUUUUUAUCUAUACUGAAUAAUGAAUGAUAGUGUCAAGUUAAGGAAGGAUGAUAAAUCAAUCAGUAUGUGUACAUAUGUGUAAGCUUAUUUGAUGUUUGUGAAAGUAGCUUUGCUCCGUGACAUACAUUGGUGAGUAAGCUAUAGCCUAUAGUCCUAAUGUUUGUACGUUUCUGUUUAUGAAAUAAAGUUGGUCGUUUAGGAGUUAAUUAAUUAAUGUUUAUCACAUAUAAUAGUUUAUGUAGCGUGGUGGCUAAGAACUAUACAAUUAUUUAGCUUCCGAACCGUGGGAUCCCGAGUUCCAAUCCUGGUUAUGAUUGGGACUUUAAAUAUCGGGUUUCUUAGGUCGCUCCUCAGUCCAAUAAAUCUUAAUGUGUACCUGACAUACUUUGGGGAAAAGCAUUGCCGACCUUAGACACAAGCAAACUAGGCAGCUGCCUAGGGCAUCCGAUUAGACUCAACGACAUUUUUUAGAAAAAAAAAAUUGAGAAGCAUGGUUCAAAUCUCAAAUAUAGCAGAACUGUAAGGCUCUAUGUAUAAUAGCUUAGCUCUCUAAGUCUCAACCAUGUUUUAAUGUUUAUUCGCGAAUGUUUAGACUACACAUGUUAGAAGACCGUUGUUUCUUCCUUUUGGUGAAAUGUCGAAACAUUAUUUCUAGUCAGGUGAUGAUGAAUCGUCCAUAAAGCACAUGAUGUGCUAUCGGCGCUAUAUGAAUUCAACUUAUUGCUUGAUUUAGUUCUAGAUGCAGGACGGUUGAUAAUAAUUCUGAUAAUUCAGUGCGUCUUUUUCGGUCUUUUUUUUCCCCGGUUCAUUUAGGGACAAUCUAUUCACAUCACCUAGGCCUCCCUAUUCAUGUCACCUAGAGCCUCUCUAUUUGCUUCGACUAGGGCUUCCAAUUAUUCUAAGACCGGCCCUAGGAAAGGUAAAAUGACCAUGUAAAAUAAAAAAAAAGUAAACUUUCCCUUUCAGAUCUUGCAAUCUAUGGGGCAGUUGAUGUAAAGAUCAUCUGUUUCCGUGACCAAGGUUAACGAGGGCGUUUUUACAUUUCCCUAACUAACGUCAGGUACCCAUUAGAGCUGGAUGGACUAGGAGGCGCCCAGAGAUCCCGAAAUUAAAAAUCCAAAUCUUCACCAGGAUUCGAACCCGGGAAUCCCGGUUAGGAAGCCAAUCGCUAUACCGCUCAGCCACCGCGCCUCCUGUUAUGAACAAGUACUGUCUUUCAAAAGUUUGUCUUCCCAUAAUGUAAAAAAAAAACAAAAAAAAAAAAACUGUGAUGUAAAGUUAAUUGUAAUGUAAGGAUAUGACGUAGCGGGUCAGUGUUCAGGCCUUCUGUAACCAUUGGUCUCGUCACAGAGCACUGAUCUUGCUACAGCAUGAGAGAUUAUCUACACAAAAGUAAUAAUAAUAAAUGUAAUGAUGAUAAUAAUAAUAAUAAUAAUGGGGAUAUUAAAUCAAUGGGGAUGUUAAGCUAACUGUUGGAAGCUGACCCGAAUGUAAAUUUGAUUUCAGUAAUACAAUACUUUUUCUUCCUAUUAAAUAUAGGUAUGUAGCCCCUAAACAUUAACAGCCAUUAAGUGUAGGCUUGUAUGCUGUCAUUGAAUAAUUAAUUUGCAUUUUUGUUUGCUGUACCUCAUUCACCAAUCGUAAACAUACAACAUUGAGUUACGUGCUUCUCUAUCUCUUGCAAAAUUACAAUUUAUUCUAAUCAACAAUGGUUAUCACGUGACAGUUUUUUUUCCCAUUGUUUUAUCAAUAAUAUCACGUGAUCGUUCGUUUUGGUGAAUGAGGUCCAGUGGUCGUUCGUGCCUAUAUAUGUUUUGUACGGUGAAUUUAUUGCAAUGCAACUCGUCACUACAGCUUUUAAUAAAACUUGUUAUCAGCAUUUGAAUAUUUUUAAAAAAUUAAGUUUGUUGAUUUUUUUAUGGACUUAAAAAUAUAAAAUAACUAGCCAUAUAAUGCCCGCGGGUCUUAAUUUGUGUAUCACUAUCGAUAUAGUCACUGAGAGUGUUUUGUAAACAAUUAAACGAAAUAAUAAUGCUAUAAGUAAAGCGAAUGCGGAAUGCAUAAAUGUAAAAAUAGUAUGAAUGGAGCUAUCAAAAUAGCUAAUCGACCUAAAUCCAUUUUUUCAAAUAAAAACCUUUGCUUGUAGGCCUACAUAAUUAAAAAAAAUGAAAUGAAUAGACAUUAUUUAGAUCUUGAGCUAGAAAUAGAUCUAGACUAAUCUAGAGUUAAAUAUUGGCUUGGAUAGAGUUAGUUUUUCGCGUGCGUGGAGGCUUCGCUCUGUGCAUGCGUGACCUAUUUUGUUAGAUGUACGCGACUUCAUGAAUGGGACUAUAUAAAUAUAUGUCAACACGGCUUCGCAGUUAUAGCGAACGAAUGUAUGAAAAAUGCUUUAAAAAAACAAAUGUGAAUGUUAAUUUGAUUAAAAUAUAAAAUUAAUGGACUAUAAUUAGUAUGCUCAUGUGUUAAAGUAUAAAACUAUCUUUGGGAAGAGAAAUUUAAUUAGAGUUUUAGACCUAGGAAUAGAGAGAUGUGUAACAUUUCGGUCUUGUCUAAUGAAAAAAUGUACGUCAGGAAUUCUAAAUUCGUAGAUAUAAGGAACGAAUUUACGUAAAAAUGCUUUUGAAACACAAAUCUGAAGAUUAAUUUUUAUUAAAUAAUCAAAUCAAAAUUUUGCAUUUUCAAGGGUCAAAGUAAAAAACUAUGUGCAAAGUGUAGUUUAAGAAAAAUUAGAUCUAGAUGUAGAUCCUUUCGAUCUAAACAUGGAAAAAAUGACCUAGAUCUAUGAAAUACUAAUACUUUCAUAGAGUUGGGCAACUUUUUUUUUUGAGGGUCUUUAGUUUGUUUUAGGGCUACUAUACAUACGUCACGAUUGUUGACAUUGUGUUUAUGUGUAUGUGUUUGUUAUUAGUAUGUAGAGUCAUUCCCCUUGGUAAGAAAGUUCAUAUCAGAGUGUUGUGUGUAACCUCGUACUGUGAGGGUGUGUAAAUAAAUGGAUUCUUGAAUCUGGCGUUAUAGUGUUGGCGUUGUAUUAUAGUGUAGCGUUUCUAGAUUAACAAGUGGUAGCAGAGCCUGUAAGUAAACGUAUUUACUUAGUUGAUCCUAUUUAAAGUGAUAAUGACUACAAGAAUUGAGAUUCCAUCCUUUUUGAAAGAUAUGCCUUAUGAAUUAUAUAAGAAAGAACUGCUAGCGUGGAAUGAAAUCACGGAGCUAAAGAAAGAGAAGAGAGCGAUAGUCGUAGCCCUUUCAUUACCACAAGGCAGUGAGUCAAGGAUAUAAGAGAGAAGGUAUUUGAGCAAUUAGAGCUGUCGGAGCUCAAGUGUCAGGAAGGUUUCGAGAAUCUGUUAAAAUUUCUUGACAAGAACUUGGCUAAAGAGACCUGGCAGACAGUAUUGAUAAAUUUGAUGAUUUUGAAAACUUCAGGCAAAGUGAAAAUCAAUCCAUACGUGAUUUUAUCUCAGAAUUUGACUAAAAGUAUAGGAGAUUAGAACAGAAACGAAUGAAGAUGUUACCUGAGAUUCUGGCCUUCAAGCUGCUCAGAAAGGCAAGAAUUACGCAAACUGAGAAGAUGCUAGUUCUGACAGGUAUGAACUUUGCUAACCGGGAAACGCUGUAUGAAGAAGCAAAGGCAUCUCUUAGAAAGUUCAAAGGAGAAGAUAGUAAAGGGAAAAAGUUCGAUGCCUGUAUCAAACUUGAGCCAAGGUGUUUGUCUGAGAAUGAGGAGGCUUUAUGGGCGGCUGGCUACAAGAAACAUGAAACGUUUAGCAGUUUGGGAAGACGAGGGGAACAACAGUUGAACCACAGCAGACGUGAAAACUUCAAGAGCUUUGAAAGACGAGAUAAAGAGCAGUUGAAAUCUACCAGCAAGCCGAAAGUGGAACAUCAUGAAAGUAGACUAUAUAAAGGUGGAAGUCACUUUAGAGGUGAAGGUCAAGUCAGAAACAUUGCUCGAGAUCAGUUCUCUCAAGCAAGAAAGAAAGGUUUAAACCCAUUAGGUCGUGAUGGAAAUGUUUUGAGAUGCUUAUCUUGUGGGUCAUAUAGACAUCUUUUGUCUAAAUGUCCAGACAGCUGGGAGAACCUCACAGAAACUCUCAAAGUUGUAGAGGACGAAAAGGGAACUUGUCCGUUUACUGGAGAGAUUUUACAACGAGGUUAUGAGGGCAGUGCACGCUCCAGUAGAGCGAUGAAUUAUUUUUAUGAUUGACAGUGGUGGAGAAAUUCAAGGCUGACCUGCUUCUAGAAUGUGCACGAAUUUUGAAGCUACACAUGUGUAGUAGAGUUGCUAGUAUAGUUUGGACAAUACUCCAAGGUCACGCUCAACGAGUUAUAAUCAUACUGUGUGUGUGUGGAGAUUACUUUCAGUUCCUGUGACUGAAAAAAAAAAACAAAGUGAACACAACUGUGUCGAAAUAUUAGGCAGAAUAUUUUGACUAGGUGACCUUUGAUCUAGCGACCAGAAGGAAACAUCUGUGUGUUAGUCUGAGACAAUGUGAAUCUAUCUGCUCUAGCCACAAGUUGCUGUGUAUAGAGACAUUGUUCCUUAACAACUGGCAUUACUUUCUCGUAUUGCCUUUGAGUCACUCUUGAUUCAUACGAUGCGCAUCAAGUUUGAAAACAGCACUGCAACUGAGCAGAUUGUUAACAGUUUCUCUCCCCUCCCCCUGUACUGUUACCCCACUACAUUUGAUCAGACUGCAGAGUAUUGUCAACAUUUCUUUACCCCACUACAUUUAACCUUCUUUGUGUGGGAAGAACGUUUUGAAACCUUGGUGUAUGAAAUUAUGUGUAUUUCUGGUGAAUGCCUACAACACCAACAGAAAGAUGCUAUCCACACUUGCCACUGUUAACAUCAAUGUAACCAUCAGAGAAUACAGAAAUAGUGAAGAAGCAAGGUGGCGUCUGACAGUACAAGUCUUUUGGUGCGGCAGCUUUCCACCAUAACAUCCUCAGAACAAUUGACUCCGUUCAUGGCGUCUUUUAAGCCCUACAUUCUUAGGAUGUAUGGCUCCAUACCUAGUGUUUUAACCCCACCCCCUUCAAUCCUCAGGACAUUUUAUUCUAUUCCUAGUCUUAUCAACCCUAUGUCGACAACCCAUUUUGACUCCAUUCUAUGUGCAUAGUUUGACAUUUAGAUAGUUUUCAACUUACAGCCAAUGUUGGACCGGAUACGAAGGUACACCAAUCGCCGUGAUGAGUGACCAAGGCCCUGCAUUACCAAACACCAAAUAAGAAUGCUGAUCAGGUGAGAUGGGCACAUAAAGAAGACUGGCUGAAAUCUCUGGCUGUUUCUUAGUAACAAUCUUUUGUAUAUUGUGCAACAUGAUGCACAGUAUUAUUUUGCUCUCAUUGUUAUGAUACUUGUUUUUAGUUUUAGUUUCGCUUGACACUAGUACUUUGCUUACGCUUCUCUGAUACUUGUUCUUUUGUUUUCAUUUUGUUCAAAUUUUGAGCUAUUUCUUGAAUGCACACACACUUUCAGAAGACGUACUACAAUUAAGUUAUUUCUCUCCAGAAUACUCCUUUUACCAUUUGACAUAUAGUUCUCAAAUCUAUUCAUUUACAUGUGCAGGUCUAACAUCAUGUCAUCUUAUUGUAUGCCAUUGAUAUUCCUAGCCCACACUAUUACAUUAUGCAUACAUACAAUUUUGCUGUACACGUUUUAUUGAAUGUAAUGCUAAGGCAACUCUGUACAUACCAGACAGUGCUACAUUUCUUUUUUAAAGUUGACAUUUUGUUUUUCUUUAUUCUCUACACAUUCUCCUUGAUGUUUGAGAAGAUUGAAUUGUAUGCAGUAGACAAGGACACUUGUAAAGUUUGCUAUCUUUUUAAAAAAUUAUAUUUCGAGGUAGUCAGAGGUCCUAUCACCUAUUUUUGUUUCGUUAUGUAGCCUAUAUGUUCAGUUUUACUUAGCCUUCAAAAUACAAUGAUAGUUUGAAAGACAGGAAGAAAUGAAUGAAAGAAGAAACGAAAGAAUGAAAGAAAGAAAAAAAAAAGAUUGUAAUUAAUGUUGACAUUGUGUUUAUGUGUAUGUGUUUGUUAUUAGUAUGUAGAGUCAUUCCCCUUGGUAAGAAAGUUCAUAUCAGAGUGUUGUGUGUAACCUCGUACUGUGAGGGUGUGUAAAUAAAUGGAUUCUUGAAUCUGG